UUAGAUUGGUUAUAGAUGAAUUGAAGCUAGUAGUGGGCUAUACUAUUAAACUUGCUCUUAGNUUAUUAGAGCAAGUUUAAUAGUAUAGCCCACUACUAGCUCCAAAUCAUCUAUAGCCA
rnacentral:pre_miRNA from 1 species